AUGUUGGCGUUUCGGGACACCCUGGAGAUGUGCGGACUGGUUGAUUUGGGUUUCAGUGGUGUUCCGUUCACAUAUGAUAACAAGCGAAGCAGAAGGAAUAAUGUUAAGGUUCGUUUAGACAGGGCGGUGGCGACGAACGCGUGGAGGAAUCUGUUUGCUUUUUCCUCUGUUGUGCAUAUACCCUCUCCCUGUUUGGAUCAUGUAGCUGUCUUGCUGAAGGGGUCGGCUGACCCAGGGCCUGUUGGCAGGAGCAGUAGGAGAUACGAGUUGUUUUGGGAACGGGAUGCUGCCUUGCCGGAAAUUAUAAAAGAAGCUUGGGCGGACGUGGGAGGAAUACAAACUCUGUCGCAGCUCUGUGAUGCACUAUCGAAAACUAUGGCAUCGCUAAGUGUUUGGAGCAAA
rnacentral:rRNA from 1 species